GACGGGUGAGUAACACGUGGGUAACCUGCCUAUCAGAGGGGGAUAACACUUGGAAACAGGUGCUAAUACCGCAUAGAUUUUUGUUUUCGCAUGAAACGAAGAGGAAAGACGCUUUCGGGUGUCACUGAUAGAUGGACCCCGCGGUGCAUUAGCUAGAUGGUGAGGUAACGGCUCACCAUGGCCAUGAUGCAUAGCCGACCUGAGAGGGUGAUCGGCCACACUGGGACUGAGACACGGCCCAG
rnacentral:rRNA from 1 species